AUUGACGUCAAAUGUCUACAUCAAUAUUGCAUGAUAUACAGAUAAGCUUUGAAGAUAUUUUCCGUACGCAAUGUAUACCAAAAACUAUAGAUCAUAGGUUGAAUUGAUGACUUACUUCUUCGUUUACUGGAACAUGAAAACGGCAAAAAUGCUGCUGCUGUAAUCAUAAUUCAGACACACACAACCAAUACGAACAGGUUGUUUUUCUUCGUUAUUCUUCGUAAUAUUCGCCUGUAGCCUAUAUCAUUAGGCUAUACUGUCAUCAGUGAUUAUCCCAGCGCGUUUACGUUGAUAUUGUUUUUAAUUUUGAUUUGGGGUUUUUCACGAGCGGCAAUAAGAAGUUUGCACUCUGUCGUUAUCAAGGGCAUCUUCUAAAGGCUAGUUGUUUGUUAUUAGCAUUUUUAUGGGCUCCUAUACAUUAAAAAGAUGACAUUUAUUGAGUGAGUCACAAGUUGCUGCUUAUAUUCCACCCGUAUCCAGCCAAAACUGUCUGAUUCGGACUGUCGCGCCAAGUGAAUUUACGUCGACAAAAGAGCAUCAAGCCGGUAAAGUGCAGUGUGUCACCGCACAACCAAGAUGUUGAAUCACUGGCUAACGUUAAAGAAGCCAAAGAUUCUUGAAUUAAAAGGAUACAAGUGACGGUCGGCAGCACAUGGUUCUACGUCGAUGAUAUACACCGAAUCAAACGUAACGAUGAUGUUGUUAUGUGUGUGAAUAUAACGGUGUGUACUCUACGUUGGUAUGGAUUCAGCCUAUUGCGGCCUGCAGGACUAUAAGAGAUCCGGGAAACGAUGGGGGAAAAUGCAGCAAGGCAGCUGGUUUUUCCCAACAACAGUGCUGAAAUCCCAUCCCACGCUGGCGGCAGGCUCGGUCCUUUUUUCAUUUAUUUUUCUAUUUUAUUUAUAAAUACACGUACUGCAUAUCCAUUGCUUAUUUUUAUUUUCAAACAUUUUUUGUUUUCUUUUGUUUUCUUUUGUUUUGUUGUGUUUGUGUUUUUGUUUUUGUUUUUGUUUUUGUUUUUUUUUUUUUGUUUUUUUUUUUUUUUUUGUUUUUGUUUUUUGGAAUUUGUUUCCAUCCCAAAUAGUCUACGUUUGAAGAUCGUGCUUUCUUUUCGUUUCCAGACGAUGGGCUUUUCUUUUAUUUGCCGAUUGAUAUUUGGCUUCGGAGAAGUAAUAUAAAGUGAAACGUUCGAUGGCAAGCCUGUUUCAUUCACUCAUUUUUUUAUUCGGCUUUCCAAGAACAGAACUUUUCUUUUCUUCUCCCAUCCGUAUCCAUCUUAUCCCAGCCGUUUUAUUUUAUUUUUAUUUUAUAUUUUAUAUAUAUAUAUU